UGCCAGCCGCCGCGGUAAUACGGAGGGGGUUAGCGUUGUUCGGAAUUACUGGGCGUAAAGCGCACGUAGGCGGAUUAGUAAGUUAGAGGUGAAGUCCCAGGGCUCAACCCUGGAACUGCCUUUAAUACUGCUAGUCUUGAGUUCGAGAGAGGUGAGUGGAAUCCCAAGUGUAGAGGUGAAAUUCGUAGAUAUUUGGAGGAACACCAGUGACGAAGGCGGCUCACUGGCUCGAUACUGACGCUGAGGUGUGAAAGCGUGGGGAGCAAACAGGAUUAGAUA
rnacentral:rRNA from 1 species